rnacentral:lncRNA from 1 species
AGCUUACUUAGUGACCCAGAUUCUUCUAGUAUUUUCUCUUUCAGUAUUUCAUUCAGCCAGAGGAAGUUUUCUUGCUUCCAGUCUGCCUACCUCCCCCACUCUCCUUCACCUCCAGGACAGCUGGAAACUGACCAAAGAAAACUUUUGCCUUCGUUUACAAAUUCCUGUUUUAUCAGCAUCUUUUUAGACAACGUGCCUUAUCAUUUCAAAGGCCCAGGACAAGUGAGAGCCUUGUUAAAAAAAAAAAAAAAAAAAAAAAAAAAGAUGGGCCAGCAGGCUCAGCUGACCAGCAAGUAUCAGCCAUUCUUGGAUUUUAGAAGAACAAUUUCAAUGUUAUCUAGUGAGCCCACUAAAGACAGAGCGCUAUUCCCCUGGCCUGCUAAGUUGCUGAGUCAGUAAGAUGUGGGUUUGGCACUUGGGCCCUCAUCUCUGGCUAAGUGCGUUUGCAUUGUCUGAUAGUAAAAUAAC